rnacentral:lncRNA from 1 species
UGUGCAGUUUCCUGUACAUCUCCUUGUGUAUCUGGGGUCACUCCAUCUGGGCGCUAUGGCUUUUGUCUGCAUUUAAAACAACAGUG